rnacentral:sRNA from 1 species
AAUGUGAAAGAUGAGGGGAUGGGGCAAUUGUUCAGCUGAUAAAGUGUCUGUCACUCAACAGGAGUUCAAUACUCAGAACCUUGUAAUCUCAUUGCUGGGGAGACAGAGACAGAUGGAUGGAGCCUGCAAUGCACUGGCUAGCCAGUUAAGCCAACUUGGUUAUCUUCUUAAUGUCCACCCAGUGCGGUCUCAAGAUUCUAGCUGGUGAUGGAGAAGACCACCAUGAUGUCACAGACGCUCAAGACAGAGUUGAGAAACGAAUGGUGUGAUGAUAAGUGAUUCAUCCAAAAGGGAAAUUAUGAAGACUCUCACAGCACAUGAAAGUAAGGCUGAUAAUUGUGGAAUGUGUUGCUCAGCUUGAAGAAAAUCUUAGGAAUCUCUUCUGAUCUACUGGUUGGUGGCUUUCUGUGAGGCAGGGAUCUAUGUUCUUCAGGUUGGAUUCAAACUCAUGACCCUUCUGCUUCGACAUCCUGAUUUCUGAGGCUGCAGGGGUGUACUCCACUAUCUUAUGUAUGGCUCUCUCUACAAUCUGAGAUCUCGUGUAUGCUAAGUGUAUCUGAAACUCAUAAACAAAUAGUGCACACAGAGUUUACUGAAGGUGCUUGUUGCUAAGAUGUUCAUAUCAUGCUGGGAUGAUCUAGCUCACACUGUAAAGUGCCCGUUGCAGAAGCCCGAGGACUUGAUGUUUCUGAUCCCUGAUGUUAAUAAUCCCUAGGACAAUUGCGUGUCACUUUUCCUGGGAAGAUAACACACACGUGCACACUCAUCCCAGAUAGGGAACCCAGGACAGAUCAAGUUAACCGUUACACCAAAGAGCAAUUUGGUGAAUCAGAACCUUAUUGGGGUUACCAGCCAAGGUAUGGAUGAGGGGUUGUUUAUGGGCAGGAAGAUGACUCAUAGCUGGCCCCAGCACUGGUUACAAUUCACAAAAUCUGCAGCCUGGAGCAUCUUGACCCUUUAAGAUGGGGCAGUCUCUUCUAGGAAGCUCAGCUGAUGAGUUCCCAUCCUUCCUCAUUAUUUACUGCUUCUAUAAUCUUAGGGGUAGCCCUGAUGAAUCUCGUGAGUUUUAGCUUUCCCAGGCAUAUAAAGUUUAUUCAAUUCUGGAGUCUCAUAAGCCUCCACCGUCCCUCCUGGAGGGAAUGUUUCAAUUCUGAGAAAGCCGGAAUACAUCAAGAAGCCACAUUAAAGCAUGGUGGUACCUGAUUGUAAUCCCAGCACUAGGGAGACAGAGACAGGCAAAUAUCUGGGGCUUACUGGUCUGCAAACCUAGCCAGACCAGCUAGCUGAAGGCCACCUUUUCUUAAAAACCAGAAUGGAUGACACUCUGAGGAAUGGUACUCAAGGUUGAUCUCUGCUCUACCUAUGUAUACGUGUGCCCCUGACUCUGCACACAGGCACAUCAGCACACACAUGAACACACACAUGACACAUACACACACACACACACA